AAUAAAGUUUGUGCUGAUAUGGAAAACGAAUUCUUACAGUAGAAGGCAGAAAUAAAGAGUUAAUCAAUGAAUAUAACCACUUAAGAGAACAAAUGUGUAAAUAUGAAAAUGAGAAAGCAGAAAGAGAGAUACAAGCAGCAUUCCAAGAGAACUUAGAACAAUUAAGAGAAAUAACAAUGCUUCCCUAAGAAACCAAAUGGAGCAACGAAUUGGAGAUCUGGAAACUGAAAUCUCCAAAAUGAAAAGCUCAAGUCAAGAGUCUGCUGAGGCAAGCUAGCGAGAUACAGACAGCUUUAUUCUGAAGCAUUAAAAAGCACAAAAUCCUUGUCAGACAAAUUAGCCAGAAACAGUGAGAGGCUAACUGAGGUGAGUCAUCAACUCCAGAAAGAAAAACAAAAGAAUGAAAUUUUAAUCACCAGUUUUACUGCAAAUCCAGUUCUGGAGCCACCACAUGUUGCAAAUAUCAGUACCAAUAUGUUCCUCAGGAGAAGUCUUAUUUCCAGAGGAAAUUUAGGAUUUUCUACUAGAAUUACAUGUCUUCAGAAAGCAGCUUGCGGCCUACUUGGCAAGGAUGCAGCUGGAGUUGUUGGAAAGCAUGGAUAGGGAACUUGAUGAAGAUCUUUAAGCACUUCUCCAAUAGGAUCUCCAAAUGAAUCCACAAGAAUGCCAAAAAGGUGAAUCAUGAUCCAGAAAAAUCACAUCUUUAAAAGAAGAAAUAAUGUUCAUUCAGGCUGACUUCAGAAAAAUCUGGAAAGACUUGUGUGGUCUGAUGGUGAAUGAAGUGAGCAGAACCAAGAAAAUGUUGCACACAAUAACAGCCAUGUUGUAUGAUGACUAAUAUUGAUAAACUUAACUCUUCCCAGCAAUACAAGGAUCUAAGACAUCGC
rnacentral:lncRNA from 1 species